AGCGAACGCUGGCGGCAGGCUUAACACAUGCAAGUCGAGCGGACCUUUCGGGGUCAGCGGCGGACGGGUGAGUAACGCGUGGGAACGUGCCUUCCGGUUCGGAAUAACCCUGGGAAACUAGGGCUAAUACCGGAUACGCCCUUAUGGGGAAAGGUUUACUGCCGAAAGAUCGGCCCGCGUCUGAUUAGCUAGUUGGUGGGGUAACGGCCUACCAAGGCGACGAUCAGUAGCUGGUCUGAGAGGAUGAUCAGCCACACUGGGACUGAGACACGGCCCAGACUCCUACGGGAGGCAGCAGUGGGGAAUAUUGGACAAUGGGCGCAAGCCUGAUCCAGCCAUGCCGCGUGAGUGAUGAAGGCCUUAGGGUUGUAAAGCUCUUUUAUCCGGGACGAUAAUGACGGUACCGGAGGAAUAAGCCCCGGCUAACUUCGUG
rnacentral:rRNA from 1 species